GUCUAUACUGAAACCAUGAUAUUUUAGAUUCUGGUAAAAACAUAAAAGCUGUGCUUAAGUCCUCGAAGAAUAACUGCUGACCUUAUUCACUGGCUGUGUGGACUUUCUGGCAUAGUCAGUCACCAGGUUAGUGACAUGU